rnacentral:rRNA from 1 species
GACGAACGCUGGCGGCGUGGAUUAGGCAUGCAAGUCGAACGGUAUGGACCUUUCGGGGUUCAGAGAGUGGCGAACGGGUGAGUAACACGUAGGUAAUCUACCCUCAAGACGGGGACAACCCAGGGAAACUUGGGCUAAUACCGGAUGUGUGUAGUGGCUAUUUUUCUGAUUAUCAUUAUUUACGUAAGUGAGUAAUAAUAAGAAGGGAAAGUGGUUAUUACAUAAAAGGUGGCGUAAGCUGCCGCUUGGGGAUGAGCCUGCGUCCUAUUAGUUAGUUGGUGAGGUAACGGCUUACCAAGGCGAUGAUAGGUAGGCGGCCUUAACGGGUGGUCGCCCACACUGGGAUUGAGAUACGGCCCAGACCUCCUACGGGAGGCAGCAGUCGAGAAUAGUCUACAAUGGACGGAAGUCUGAUAGUGCGACGCCGCGUGAACGAAGAAUCCCUUCGGGGUGUAAAGCUCUUUUAUACGUGAGCAGUGUCCUUUAUAUUAAUAGUAUAAGGGGAGAGAUAUUAGCGUAUGAAUAGCAAC